rnacentral:lncRNA from 1 species
GGAUGACUGAACCUAGAGGUAUGUGUUUUUGUUUUUAUUUUGUUUUCUUUCUUUUAUUCACUGAAGAGACCCAGAAAGAGUGGUAUUCCUUCAAAUUUUUUCCUGUCCAGUUUUCAAUUAAGAGUUAUAUAUAUAUAUCAAAUACUGGGAUGAAGAAAGGAAAUGACCAUAGCAUUUCACCAUCUACAAGGCAAGAACUGCCACUUUCUCAGCCUUCACUUAGUUAUGGAGUUCCUACCAUGUGAGCUGCAAACCAGACUGUGACUGACCACCAGCCAAUCCCAGUUGCCUGGAACCAAGAAGGUCUUAGAAGAAAACAUAUUCAGGAUAAUUUUGUCCCAUGACCACCUGAAAGGAAAAGAGAGAUUUCAGAGUAACAAUUAGAGCCAGCAAAGAUUUGUUGUACUCCUAACCAAGAGAAACCAUCACUAUUUUUAAAUAAUGGUGUGGAGAGGAC